rnacentral:lncRNA from 1 species
CAUCUCGACUGAGCUAAAUGUGAUUUGACUCACCCAGAGAACCUUGAGAAGGUUUUUCUAAGUCUGACUGGAGCCAGUCCAGCUUAGAAGAGUUUUGUCUUAAUUCAUGAGAUGAAUUUAAGAUAACACCCGUCAAUUCCUAUCACCUGCCAUUUUCGUUUUAGGACAUCGAUCAAACGUUGACUUAUGGAUCUUGAACUAAAAGUCACUUGGC